AUACGAAUGGUGCAAGCGUUGUUCGGAAUCACUGGGCAUAAAGAGCAUGUAGGCGGCCGCGUCAGUCAGGUGUGAAAUCCCUCGGCUCAACCGAGGAACUGCAUCUGAUACUGCGUAGCUAGAGUGCGGGAGGGGAGAACGGAAUUCCUGGUGGAGCGGUGAAAUGCGUAGAUAUCAGGAGGAACGCCGGAGGCGAAAGCGGUUCUCUGGCCCGCUACUGACGCUAAGUGUGCGAAAGCUAGGGGAGCAAACAGGAUUAGAAACCCCGGUAGUCC
rnacentral:rRNA from 1 species